rnacentral:tRNA from 1 species
ACUUUCGUGGUGUAGUGGUCAGCACGCUCGGCGCGUAUUCGAGAGGUCCGUGGUUCGAGUCCCGGCGAGGGCA